UGUGAAUUUGUUAACCGUCUUCAAAGUGAUCGAAGGAGAUGUGUCGAAGGAAUAUAAGAGUUUUAAGUUGACCGUUCAAGCUACGCCUAAAGGAGAGGGCAGUGUGGUGCGUUGGACCUUAGAAUAUGAGAAGAUCCAUGAGAAUAUACGAGAUCCUUACUCCUUGCUAGAGUUUAUUGUACAAUUUAGUAAGGAUGUUUCUGCUCAUCUCGUGAAAUAUCCGAAGAAAUGAUCAUGAACAUGUUAUGCUUUAAUAUGUGAUUUGCAUAAUAAUUAAAUAAGUGCUCUAUAAUGAAGCAUCAAUGACAAACAUAUUUGUGUAUGAACUUAUAUCUACAAUGUAUUACAUCUUAAAACUAUGUUUGUGUUUUUUUAAUGAUUACACUUCCUUUAUUAAUGUCUAUCUAAAUUUUUAAUGUCCAAUUGAUGUUGAUUCGUCUUGAUUUAAAUCUAUUUUUUAAUUUUUUAUUAUAAAAAAUUAAAAAUUCAAAGCGAACUCUAACAACUUAAAAUUUAACAUAGAAUGAAAAAUACUCAUGAAAACUUAUCGACAUAAAUUAUGAUAUUCAUAUCCAGAAAUCUCUUCACCGGCUGUUUUCUCUGUUUCAAACAAUGAUUAGUAGCAUCAUAUCUAAUUUUCCUAGAAUUUUCAAUCAAUUUUAAGUUUAUCAAGAUGUAUUGAAAAAUAAUUAAGUAUGAUAUGUAAAAUUAGAAGACUAUGAUCUUAUGAAGGCACACUGAUAUAUAUCAUAAUUUAGAGGAUGUAGCCUUUGUUUAUUUAUAAAGAAUAAAAUUUUAAAAAAUAUUUAUUAUGAAAAAUAUUUUCUAAGAAUAAAAAUAAUUUUUAAGAAAAUUUUUAUUUAUUAUUUAUAUUAAUAUAAAAAAAUAAAAAUAUGCAGCAAUCGCACAGUAUAUAUAUAUAUAUAUAUAUAUAUAUAUAUAUAUAUAUAUUUGUUUAAAAUAAAAGAAGAAAAUAUAAAUUUAUUUUUAUUAGAAUGAGAUAUAUAAUUAUUUAUAUAAGGCAUUGUAACAUUUUCCAUCCCAUAACACAAACCCUAAUUGAAAUCACUCACAAUAGUCAAUGCUUCAUAAUUGAGUAGGAAAGAUCUCUAAACAUAUAUAUAUAUAUAUAUAUAUAUAUAUAUAUAUAUAUAUAUAUAUAUAUAUAUAUAUAUUUAUAUAUGGCAACUAAGCUUAUGCAACUUCUAUAUAAGGAAAGCAAUGCCAAAGCAGCAUAAGCAUUACCAAAAACUCUCUAUUGGGCAAAUUGGAGGCAGAUGUUGAGAUCAAUGCUCCAGCAGAUCAAUUUCACGAUGUCUUUAGUUGCAGACCACACAUGUAUUCAAUAUGAGUCCCAAUAAAAUUGAUGGUUGUGAUCUCCAUGAAGGUGAAUGGGUAAGGAAUGCACUGUGGUUUGCUGGAGUUAUUCUCAUGGUAAGCCUUAAAUCUUCAAUUGAAACUUUCUUUAGCUUUUAUUUUAAUUUUUUUUGUAAUUUUUAAAAAUUAUUAAUUAAGUAUUAAAAUGAAAAAUAAAUAGAUCUCGUAAAGUAGCUAAAGAGAUAAUUGAAGCCAUAAAUGAUGUGAACUUGUCAACCACCUUCAAAGUGAUUGAAGGAGAUCUAUUGAAGGAGUACAGAAGUUUCAAGUUGAUCAUUAAGCUAUACCCAAGGGUGAGGGAAGUUUGACGCAUUGGACUUUGAAAUAUGAAAAAUUCCAUGAGAAUAUACCAAAUCCUAAUACAUUACUGGAACUACUUAUCCACUUAAGUAAAGAUAUUUAUGCUUAUCUCGUGGAAUGUCAAAAAAAAUUCCAUGAGAAUAUGUCAUAACGCAACGCGUGAUAUUUCUUUUAAUAAUUAAAUAAGUGCUCUAUAAUGAAGCACAAGUGGCUGGGACAUUUUGUUGCAGAAAAACUUGCCUAAAAUCUAUGUCAUGUGUUUGUGUUACUCUAUUAUUAUAUGUCUUUUAAUUUGAUAAAAUUAAAAAAAUAGAGAUUAAAUCAUUUACUUUUUAAAAAAAAAUAAUUUAACAGCAUAGAGUAAGGAUUAAACUGUUAAUUUUAAAAUUUUAUGCGGUUAUAUAUUAAUUUUGACCUAAUUAUUUUAUAACAAGUAAUUGCAAUGGUCUCAUCCGUAGGAAAUUUGUAAUUAAUAUAUUUUAUUUAUUUUUAUAUAUUUAUUGUGUGUUGAGUAUAUUAUAAAAGGGUCCAACAUGCAAGUAAUAAUUCAAAAUUUGAAAAAUGUGAUCUAUUAUUUUGUCCCAAUUUGCAUGCAUAGAAGAUUUACUCCAAACGGAAAUAAUUUUUUUUUUUUUUUUACAUUGCAGAGAAAAAAAUUACAAUUAAGCAAUUAGGCGUUUCAGAGAAUAUAGGCCUAUUAAUCUGAAGGCAAUAUUUCUCAAAAACACAAAUUUGCAACAAUAUCAGUAAAAGUGUUUGCGAACAUAGUGGUGUUACAUAACAUUAGUCCAAAAAAAGUUAUGAGUUGUCACUAUAGAAUAGGAAUCACGUGAUAAAAUUUAACAAGUAAAAAAACGUUGUCUCACUACAGGAGGAAACCCGAAUACUUUAACACGCAGACUAUCAUCAAUACUCGCCCUCCCAGGAUAGGCCGAGUCUUGACAGAGUUACUGUUAUUAGGCACAUUUCUACUUUGUCAGAGAUCGUGGGAUUACUAAUCUAAUUAGCUGACGUUGUUCAUUAUUGAGCAGUCGGCCACAUUAUUGCCGAAUUUUCACAAAACACUAUAUUUAUCUUCAUCCCUUACAGUAUAAAAUGAGAACGAUUUCAGAGAAAAUGUAUGCUAUUUCUAAUACUAUUCAAACUCUAAAUAAUCCUUCGCAUUCUCUUUGUUCUUCUAAACACUGAUUUCAGCAUCACAUAGACUGUCGUGGGCACCCACCACCACCUCACGUUUUCUCUUUUGUAGGUUCUAGCCAAUUACAGCUCAGUUCCAUUUCGACUACGUCAUCAAUCCAAUCUUAGCAACAUCAUUUGGUUCCAUUGUCGAGAAAGAUCCAUUAAACUCACUCCUGGAUCAGGCCCAGUUUCCUAUCGUCUUUCCUCACUCGAAAUGGCCGGAAACCCUAUAGUUGCUGACAAUACCAUUACCAAUGAGGGGGUCAUCAUUUCCUCUAUCCCAAAUAACCGAGAGAACAUGCAUCCAGUGAUCAAUGAAACAAACCUUAAUAAUUUGAAUAAUGAGCAGAUAAUCCAGUAUAUCUAAAGGCUGCAGGCCACUCUCGGGCAGUAUAAGACCUAAGAAGAGGCGUCUAAGAUGGACUCUGAAAGAAGAGAUGAGACUUCCGUAAACACCCCCAAAGCCAUCAUGGAAGCACCUAAAAUGCGGCAUAAAGGUGUAACGACCCGAAAAUCGGACCGCUACCGGCGCUAGGAUCUUAAGGUCACCGGAACCCGUAGCAAGCCUAACAUACAUCCUGUAUACCUGCUAAAAUCCCAUACAUGAUCAUACAUUUUCAUAAAAACUUUAAAUUUUUCAUAUACCAAGUUUGACCUAUGCAUGCAACAUAACUGUAUACAUAAAAUCCCUUACUGGAGCCCUCAUCAAAUGCUCUAGUUGGGUCAACAUCUCAUACAUCAAGCUUGGUUCAACAUAUAUCAUCAUUAAAAAUAUUUCAUAAAGAUCAUGUACCAAAAGGGAUUAACCAUACAUUAGGGCCAAGCACAAUACUAAUCCGCAUUACAUUACUGAAUAAUACCUUACAUUACAUUACAUGUCAUUUCAUGUCCACUACUAAUCUAUUACAUGACAUAGCCAUUACCCUUGCUGACUUCAUGCUAUCUUUGACCCUGCAAACCUGGGGGUUAGGGGAAAAGGGUGAGCUACAAAAGCCCAGUGAGUAGAACAGUAAAACACAAUUUAAUAAAACACAUGCUUUUAUGAAAUGCGUCACAACACAAACAAUUCACAACAAGGAUGGACUUGUCACCAAUAACCCUCUACAUAAUUCAAUGUGCCCGGCCCUCGACGGGGCUCCCCAGGACUUCCUCUUAAACAUAAUAUAAUGCCAAGACGCAUGGCAUGGGCAGCCCUGGACUUUCUUACAUACCAUAUCAUAUCAUAUUGAGGGCUAGUGGGUCAUCCAAUAUCCAUCCACAACAACAACAAAUUAUGCAAUGCAUCAUAUUCGUGAAUUCUAAUGCCACAACCUAAUACAUAAACAUGGUAUCCAUGAUGCAUGAGCAUGCUUAAAAGUUUGAUUGCUUAAAAAAAGAAAGAGUUAUGUUCUACUCACCUUUGGCUGACUCUAGAAUAGCUAACUCACUGUUGAUCACCUCGGUUCCUCAAGUCCAAUCUUACACAGGUAGACUCAAAUGAGGGACCAAACAUACUCUAACAUGACUCUAAACAUCUCCCCAAAAACCCCCUAAAAUAUCAUAAAACAUGCACACAAAACAAGCAAAGGAAGGCUAGGCAGGAGACUUUCGGCGGCAGGUUCGGCGGCCGAAGGUCCCUACAGAGCCGAAAGUCAGGCACUUUCGGGGGCAGGGUUCGGCGGCCGAAAGCCUUCACAGACUCGAAAGUCACCCACCUUCGGGGGCAGGUUCGGUGGCCGAAACUCCCCUCCAGAGUCGAAAGUCUAACUUUCAGGGGCGAGUUUAGGCGGUCAAAACUACCUCCUCUGGCAGGUUCGGCGACCGAACCUGGGUUCUCCAGGACGACAGAACCCGAUUUUGCCUCAUGUAUUCAGCCAUCCAAACCUCACCAACACCCAUCCAACUAUUCUAAAGCAUGCAUAAAUACAUAUUCGAGCUUAUAGGGGCUUAAAACUAGCCUAUACCCCCAACAAACAUCAACAUAGCAUCACAUUUAACAUUAAACUAACAUAAACCCUAACAUUUAGAUCUACUCUAAAUAUGCAUUAAACACCCUUAAAACCUCCUAAAACUUACUUAAAACAUAAAAAGGUAUAGAUCUACACUUACCUCUUGAAGAUCGAGAGGAGAGGUGAUCCAAACUUGGAGAUUGGGAGAAAUCGAGCUCUGGGGGUCUCCAAGCUUCAAAACUUUGAUCUUAGCUUAAAAUCUUCAAAACAAAGGUAAAAACUGCUCAUCAAGACUUAAAGGAAAUGAAGGAAAACACAAAAUCAACCAAAGGAGGGCGAAAUCUCACCUAUGUCAGAAAAUAAAGAGAGAAAACUUGUCCAUUUUCGGAUAAUGGGCCUUUUAUAGGUGGCUGGCCAGACCACCUUCAGGGGCCAAAGGUGCUUCCACAAGAGCCCAAUGUUCCGCGGUCGAACCUGGCUUUUCCUUCCUUGGUCUUUUCUUUCAAAACUCAAUUUCUUUUUUCAUUAAAACCAUAAAAAUAUAUAAAAACAUUUUAGAAAACCUUUAUUUUACCCUUCUAGAAGGCUCCGACAUCCGAGAAUUUCAGAUUCCAACGGAGAUUCCGCUGGAAGGUAGGAAUUCCGAUGCCGGAGUCUAGCCGGGUAUUUUAAACUCACUCCUGGAUCAGGCCCAGUUUCCUAUCGUCUUUCCUCACUCGAAAUGGCUGAAAACCCUACAGUUGCUGACAAUACCAUUACCAAUGAGGGGGUCAUUAUUUCCUCUAUCCCAAAUAACCGAGAGAACAUGCAUCCAAUGAUCAAUAAAGCAGACCUUAAUAAUUUGAAUAAUGAGCAAAUAAUCCAGUAUAUCUAAAGGUUGCAGGCCACUCUCGGGCAGUAUAAGACCCAAGAAGAGGCGUCUAAGAUGGACUCUGAAAGAAGAGAUGAGACUUUCGUAAACACCCCCAAAGCCAAGAUAGAAGCACCUAAAAUGCGGCAUAAAGGUAAGUGUGAAUCUGAAGAUAAAUCAAAUGAGGUUUCAAAAGAAGUGAAUUGGAAGCUAGUACGAGCCAUACAAAGAUAUUAAAGAAAACAAGAAGAGGAUUAUAGUUUGGAUGGGGUCUCGCCUCUUUCGGAAAAAAUACUGGUGAAAACUUUUCCCGCUAAGUUCAAGUUGUCCUAUUUGGAUAAGUAUUACGGGACAGCAGACCCUUGAAGCCAUCUAGCCAUUUUCAGGACGACCCUGGAGUUUCAAGAUUUAAAUAAUUUUGUGUUAUGCCGAAUGUUCCUGUCGACAUUCGCAGAUUUCUGAAACUUAUUAAUAAGUAUAAAAAUAAAAAAUUGAUGGAUCUCGCAAAGUGGCAAAAGAGGUGAUUGAAACUAUAGAUGAUGUGAACUUAUCAACCACUUAUGAAAUGAUCGACAGAGAUCUAAUGAAGGAGUACAAGAGUUUCAAAGCUACUGUUCAAGCUACACCCAAAAGAAAUGGCAGUUUGGUGCAUUGGACCUUGUUAAUAUAAGAAGUUGAAUGAAAAUAUAUCAGAUCUCCAUACAUUAAUGGAAUUUCUUAUCCAUUGCAGUAAGGAUAUUUCUGCUCAUCUCGUGGAAUGCCGGAAGAAAUGAUCAUGGAAUAUGAUCAUCACAUAUUCAUAUCUAAGAAUCUCUUUGCUGUUUUUUCAGACAAUAAAUAAUCAAUUAGUAGCAUCUAUCGAUCUAGCUAAUUUUUUAAAAGUUUUUGAUCGAUUUUAAAUUUAUCAAUAUGUGUUGAUAAUUAAUUAUGAUACAUAAAAUCAGAGACUAUGAUUUUAUUCAUACAUAUUGUAAUAGACAUCAUAAUUUGGAUGCAUUAGAUUCUAUUUAUUUAUAAAAAAUAAAUUAUUGUCUUUAAAAAUAAUUUAAUAUUUUUAUCAGUAAAAUAAUUUUUAUUAAUCAUUUCUUUUGAGUAUUCUAUAUACAUAAAAAAAAUUGAAAGAUAUUUUAGCCGCGUAUAUAUUCACAUUUUCACUUAUUAAUUAUAUAUCUAUAUAAAUUAAAUAUGGGAUUUAAUAUAAUUUAAAAUAAUAUAUUAUUUAUUUAUGUAUCAUAUUUAUAUAUUAAAAUUUCUAUGGAAUUUUUCAUCAAAUAAUGCUCAACUCCUCUAUGAGUUAUGGCACCCUCUUCGAAUAGCUAGAAAUACCUAAUCUUAUUUAAAAAAUAAAUAUUUUACUUAAACUUUAAUAUAAAUAUUUUAUUUAAUUAUUAAAAUUAACUCAUUUUUAUAUAUGAAUUUAAAUAAUUUAAAUUAAAUUUUAACGAAAUUUUAAAAUAAAUUUAACAUUAAAAAUGAAAUAAAAUUAUCUUAUUAUUUCUAUUUGUGAUAAUUGUUUUAUCUCACUAAACUUAAAUAGAGUUAGAGAUGUAUCGUAUGAAAAAACUUGCUUAAACGUUGAGUUUCAAUUAGAUUUUUUUAAAUAAUUUUAUUUAGUUUAAGAACUCUAUUUAAUUACCAAUAAAAUAUAUGGAAGGAUUUGAGAUUUAGGUAAAGAAAAAUUAUAAUUCAAGAAUUAAACUAUUUGUUUUAUAAAUAAAAAAAAUAUUUUUAUUAAUUAAUUUAAGGACUGAAAAGUUACUUUAUUUAAACCAUACAAUAAAUAUUUGCCCAACUUUACAUAAUCUUAUCACAAAAAAAAAAAUCAAUAAUUUUAAAACACUUUUUACAAAUAUCGUAAGAGAUUAAAAGAAAUCUUAUCACUCAUUAUUAUUGCUCCUUUUCUUUAAAUUUUUAUUAUACUCAAAAUAUAAAGUAUAUUUAUAAAUUUUUUUAUAAAUAAUUAUCAUAUUAUAAUAUCCAGAAAAAAAUAUCACAAAAAACAUUUCCCCCAAACAUUUGAAAAUACACUUUCACAAAUAUUGUCCCCGAUUAAGGAAUCCCUCUAUAUAUUUAAUUAUUUUUAUGAUUUAAUUAUUCAUAUAUUAAAUUUAUUUUGAAUAUAUUUUUAUUUAUAUUUUUAUUGAAAUAUUGAAAUAUUUAUAAUUUCAAAUUAGUUUAUAAGUAUUUAUAUUAUCAUUUUAAUUUAUUUUCUAUUAUUUACAAUAAUUUUCAUCCCAUAAUACACAUUCUAAUUGAAAUUACUCAACAUAGUCACAUCUGCAUAAUUGAGUAUGAAAAUAUUUCUAUAAUAUUAAAAUAAAUAAAUAUAUAAAUGACAAUUAGGCUCAUGCCACUUCUAUAUAUAGAAAGCAAUGCCAAAGGACUGCAUGCAUCAUUAGAUUCAUUAGUGAUCAUAAGCAUCACCAGAAAUUCUGUAUCUUUCUUUUUUCAAAAGCUAAAAAUGACAUUAUGGGGCAAACUAGAGGCACAGUUUGGGAUCGAUGCUCCUGCAGAUCAGUUUCAUGAUGUCUUCAGUUGUCGACCACACCAUAUAUCCAAUAUGUCCCCUCACCAUAUUCAUGGUUGUGAUAUUCAUGAAGGUGAAUGGGGUAAGGAAGGCUCUAUUGUCUGCUGGAAAUAUUUCCAUGGUAAGCGUUUAAUCUUUUUCAAUUGUAUUUUUCCUUUUUUCUUCUAAAAAUUAUUAAUAAGUAUAAAAUGAAAAACAGAUGGGUCUGCUAAAGUGGCUAAGGAAGUAAUUGAAACCAUAGAUGAUGUGAAUUUGUUAACCGUCUUUAAAGUGAUCGAAGGAGAUUUGUUGAAGGAAUAUAAGAGUUUCAAGUUGACCGUUCAAGCUACACCUAAAGGAGAGGGCAGUGUGGCGCGUUGGACCGUAGAAUAUGAGAAGAUCCAUGAGAAUAUACGAGAUCCUUACUCCUUGCUAGAGUUUCUUGUCCAAUUUAGUAAGGAUGUUUCUGCUCAUCUCGUGAAAUGUUAGAAGAAAUAAUCAUGGAACAUGUUAUGCUCU
rnacentral:lncRNA from 1 species